GUUGGUAAUAGUUGGUCUACUAUAGGGAUAGGGUGUGCAUCAAGAUAGGAUCCAUCGAUCUUGAUAGAGAGAAAUAGUUCUACAAAAUUUAAGAGGCUAAGUCUAAGAGUCUGUGGCCACAGCAGUGUGAUUGAUAGAAAAUAGUUUUCAUAGAAGUCACAACUGAACUUGAGCUAAUCGAAUCUAUCAUAUGAUUGAUGCUGAGUUUUGACGAUUUAUCCAUGACCUACCAUGA
rnacentral:lncRNA from 1 species